rnacentral:rRNA from 1 species
GACAGAGGUGCCGAGCGUUAGGCGGAAUCACUGGGCUUAAAGCGUGUGUAGGCGGGCGGGCAAGUAUCUUGUGAAAUCCCACGGCUCAACCGUGGAACUGCUGGGUAUACUGCCUGUCUUGAGCCAGCCAGGGGCAGUCGGAACAGACGGUGGAGCGGUGAAAUGCGUAGAUAUCGUCUGGAACGCCAAAGGUGAAAACAGACUGCUGGGGCUGUGCUGACGCUGAGACACGAAAGCCAGGGGAGCGAACGGG